AGACUGGAAAAUCUCUGCAGGCAAAUGUGAUGUCACUGAGGAAAUCACACACUUACCCGUAGAGAUUCUACAGUCU
rfam:Pan troglodytes isolate Yerkes chimp pedigree #C0471 (Clint) chromosome 2A, whole genome shotgun sequence.